rnacentral:rRNA from 1 species
GACGAACGCUGGCGGCGUGCCUAAUACAUGCAAGUAGGACGCAGUUGCGAACGGGUGAGUAACGCGUCGGUAACUGCCUAUUAGAGGGGGAUAACUAUUGGAAACGAUAGCUAAUACCGCAUACUAGUAGAUGGACCUGCGUUGUAUUAGCUAGGAGGUAGGGUAAUGGCCUACCUAGGUGACGAUACAUACCCGACUUGGGAGGGUGAACGGCCACACUGGGACUGGGACACGGCCCAGACCCCUACGGGAGGCAGCAGUAGGGGAACUUCGGCAAUGGGGGGAACCCUGACCGAGCAACGCCGCGUGAGUGAAGAAGGUUUUCGGAUCGUAAAGCUCUGUUGUUAAGGAAGCGGUACUUAACCAGAAAGGGACGGCUAACUACGUGCCAGCAGCCGCGGUAAUAC